UGUUCGGCGUUUUUACCUGCAGUGUAACUGUGGGUAAAAACGCCAAACAUG
rnacentral:pre_miRNA from 1 species